UGUUUUUUGUUUUUUUUUCCCCUUCAGUCACCUUCCAUGUCUAGCUGAAGAUCAACAAACGUCUCUAAAGGCCUGGUCAUCUUCCCCUUAGUCCAGGAAGCCAGACUGGUUCAGACAAAUUCCACUCCGUUUGCACGGAGUGUUGUGUGGCGCUGGAGGGCACGCGUGAAGGUCAGAGGACAACUUUUAGGAAUCAGUUCUCUCCCGCCACGGGUUCUGGGAAAUCAAAUUCACAGGCCCUCCCUCUACUUUCAGAAAAUUUCAGCUUGCACUCCUUGGCUUCCAAACCGUCCGAGGCUUCCUACUGCCAUGCUGUUCCUGCCGGAUUCCUGUUGCUGGGGCCCCAAGUCAACAGAGCCGGGAACCGAAGAUGGAAAUCACGAAUUAAAAGAAUUCCUCCCUUAAA
rnacentral:lncRNA from 1 species